rnacentral:misc_RNA from 1 species
UGUAAGAGCAGUUAGCUGGUG